rnacentral:rRNA from 1 species
AUUGAACGCUGGCGGCAGGCCUAACACAUGCAAGUCGAGCGGAGCGGCGGAGGGGUGGGUAAGGCCUAGGAAUCUGCCUGGUAGUGGGGUCUAACGUCCGGACACUGGCGCUCAUACCCCAUUCUAUCACAUUCGCCUAGGUCGGAUUAGCUAGUUGGUGGGGUAAAGGCCUACCAAGGCGACGAGCCGUAACUGGUCUGAGAGGAUGAUCAGUCACACGGGAACUGAGACACGGCCCAGACUCCUACGGGAGGCAGCAGUGGGGAAUAUUGCACAAUGGGCGAAAGCCUGAUGCAGCCAUGCCGCGUGUAUGAAGAAGGCCUUCGGGUUGUAAAGUACUUUCAGUGGGGAGGCGUUACCGGCAGAAGAAGCACCGGCUAACUCCGUGCCAGCAGCCGCGGUAAUAC